GAUGAACGCUGGCGGCGUGCCUAACACAUGCAAGUCGAACGGAAAGGCCCUGCUUUUGUGGGGUGCUCGUGUGGCGAACGGGUGAGUAACACGUGAGUAUCCUGCCCUUGUCUUUGGGAUAACUUCAGGAAACUGGGGCUAAUACAGGAUAGGAGCUACUGCUGCACGGUGGGGGUUGGAAAGUUUCGGCGGUUGGGGAUGGACUCGCGGCUUAUCGGCUUGUUGGUGGGGUAGUGGCUUACCAAGGCUUUGAAGGGUAGCCGGCCUGGGAGGGUGACCGGCCACAUUGGGACUGAGAGACGGCCCAGACUCCUACGGGAGGCAGCAGUGGGGAAUAUUGCACAAUGGGCGGAAGCCUGAGGCAGCAACGCCGCGUGCGGGAUGACGGCCUUCGGGUUGUAAACCGCUUUCGCCGGUGACGAAGCGUGAGUGACGGUAAUGGGUAAAGAAGCACCGGCUAACUACGUG
rnacentral:rRNA from 1 species